AAGGAAAUGAAUAGAGUUAUUAUAAGAAUUGAAAUAAAGCAAAUGAAGAUAAGAUAUAUAAAUAUUUUAUAGUUUUAUUACGUUAUAUUAUGCACACACACAUAUCUAUACAUAUGUGUUGGCAUCAAUCAAAAAUUCAAAAAAAGAAAGGAAACAAUAAUUUUUUUUACAGAUUUUCAAAGUGUCCCCCUUAUGUGGUGACUUUCAGGAAAUUGAAGUUCCUACAAGUCUCCUCCCUUAGUAGUUGGCUUUGGCGCGGGUCCAGCGCUACAAGCCUUGGGGUUCUGAGUUCCCACAAGCUUAGGCGUAACGUUUGAGCACGUGAAAGUCGGUGGACCAUCGGCUCCUUUGUACUCAAGGUUAAUGUUCCCAAUCUCAACGUUCACACAUGGAUGUGCCUUGCUGCACAAUAGCUUCACUGCAUCCUUGUUCCCUGAUGUUCCUCUAAUGUUCUUGAAGCUUAUG
rnacentral:lncRNA from 1 species